rnacentral:rRNA from 1 species
GUGCAGCAGCCGCGGUAAUACGUAGGGUGCAAGCGUUGUCCGGAAUUAUUGGGCGUAAAGAGCUCGUAGGCGGUCUGUCGCGUCGGCUGUGAAAACCCGAGGCUCAACCUCGGGCCUGCAGUCGAUACGGGCAAACUAGAGUACUGCAGGGGAGACUGGAAUUCCUGGUGUAGCGGUGAAAUGCGCAGAUAUCAGGAGGAACACCGGUGGCGAAGGCGGGUCUCUGGGCAGUAACUGACGCUGAGGAGCGAAAGCGUGGGGAGCGAACAGGAUUAGAUACCCUGGUAGUCCACGCCGUAAACGUUGGGCGCUAGGUGUGGGGGCCAUUCCACGGUCUCCGUGCCGGCAGCUAACGCAUUAAGCGCCCCGCCUGGGGAGUACGGCCGCAAGGCUAAAACUCAAAGGAAUUGACGGGGGCCCGCACAAGCGGCGGAGCAUGUUGCUUAAUUCGAUGCAACGCGAAGAACCUUACCUAGGCUUGACAUGCACGGAAAUCUCGUAGAGAUACGGGGUGCCUUUGGCGUCGUGCACAGGUGGUGCAUGGUUGUCGUCAGCUCGUGUCGUGAGAUGUUGGGUUAAGUCCCGCAACGAGCGCAACCCUCGUUCUAUGUUGCCAGCACGUGAUGGUGGGGACUCAUAGGAGACUGCCGGGGUCAACUCGGAGGAAGGUGGGGAUGACGUCAAAUCAUCAUGCCCCUUAUGUCUAGGGCUGCAAACAUGCUACAAUGGCCGGUACAAAGGGCUGCGAUACCGCGAGGUGGAGCGAAUYCCAAAAAGCCCGGUCUCAGUUCGGAUUGGGGUCUGCAACUCGACCCCAUGAAGUUGGAGUCGCUAGUAAUCGCAGAUCAGCAACGCUGCGGUGAAUACGUUCCCGGGCCUUGUACACACCGCCCGUCACGUCACGAAAGUCGGUAACGCCCGAAGCCGGUGGCCCAACCCUUGUGGAGGGAGCCGUCGAAGGCGGGAUCGGCGAUUGGGACGAAGUCGUAACAAGUAACC